rnacentral:rRNA from 1 species
AGUGAACGCUGGCGGUAGGCCUAACACAUGCAAGUCGAACGGCAGCACAGUAAGAGCUUGCUCUUACGGGUGGCGAGUGGCGGACGGGUGAGGAAUACAUCGGAAUCUACUUUUUCGUGGGGGAUAACGUAGGGAAACUUACGCUAAUACCGCAUACGACCUACGGGUGAAAUCAGGGGAUCUUCGGACCUUGCCCGAUUGAAUGAGCCGAUGUCGGAUUAGCUAGUUGGCGGGGUAAAGGCCCACCAAGGCGACGAUCCGUAGCUGGUCUGAGAGGAUGAUCAGCCACACUGGAACUGAGACACGGUCCAGACUCCUACGGGAGGCAGCAGUGGGGAAUAUUGGACAAUGGGCGCAAGCCUGAUCCAGCCAUACCGCGUGGGUGAAGAAGGCCUUCGGGUUGUAAAGCCCUUUUGUUGGGAAAGAAAAGCAGCAGGUUAAUCCCCCGCUGUUCUGACGGUACCCAAAGAAUAAGCACCGGCUAACUUCGUG